rnacentral:rRNA from 1 species
ACUCCCUCGGGAGGCAGCAGUGGGGAAUAUUGCACAAUGGGCGAAAGCCUGAUGCAGCGACGCCGCGUGAGGGAUGACGGCCUUCGGGUUGUAAACCUCUUUCAGCAGGGAAGAAGCGAAAGUGACGGUACCUGCAGAAGAAGCGCCGGCUAACUACGUGCCAGCAGCCGCGGUAAUACGUAGGGCGCAAGCGUUGUCCGGAAUUAUUGGGCGUAAAGAGCUCGUAGGCGGCUUGUCACGUCGGUUGUGAAAGCCCGGGGCUUAACCCCGGGUCUGCAGUCGAUACGGGCAGGCUAGAGUGUGGUAGGGGAGAUCGGAAUUCCUGGUGUAGCGGUGAAAUGCGCAGAUAUCAGGAGGAACACCGGUGGCGAAGGCGGAUCUCUGGGCCAUUACUGACGCUGAGGAGCGAAAGCGUGGGGAGCGAACAGGAUUAGAUACCCUGGUAGUCCACGCCGUAAACGUUGGGAACUAGGUGUUGGCGACAUUCCACGUCGUCGGUGCCGCAGCUAACGCA